CGUUUAGGGUUGGAUACACCCGCAUGGCGUUGGUGAAUUGGUUGAGAAUUGAGAUCAGUGGAAGGUUCAACGCUGAACACUGCUAUCUAGGAAUUUUGGAGGAGGUGGUGGUUGCCUUCGCUUAUUCAUGCUCUUCCCUAUCCUGAGUAGAUCAUUUUCCUGAAGGACAACUGUUCCUCCAUCCCCACAGCAAGGAUUGUCCGAGAACAGUUUGCUAAACAGCGUGACAUCGUUUUCCUUCCUUCCUUAGCGGAGCAAAGCAUGCGAGCGACCUGAACCCGAUCGAGAAUGUCUGGGGGAACAUCGGCUGAGGGUCAGGAGCGUAACCAUCAGCAUCUUGUCUUUUCCAGCACGUUCGCAACCCACAAGUUGUGUAUAACCACAUCUCGUCAAAAAACAGAUCGCAAGAUGUUAACGCACAUAAUGGUGGAUGGACAAAAUAAUGUGUCGAAUGCUAUCUUGUUUUGCUUGCUUUCAGUUCUACAAUUCAACAUUGUAUAAAUAGAAAUAAAAAAUAUUUAUUUCCA